rnacentral:rRNA from 1 species
GUGUCAGCAGCCGCGGUAAUACGUAGGAGGCAAGCGUUGUCCGGAAUCACUGGGCGUAAAGCGCGUGUAGGUGGUACGACAAGUCUGCUGUGAAAGCGCCUGGCUUAACCGGGCGAGGUCGGCGGAAACUGUCGCACUUGAGGACGGUAGAGGGGGGUGGAAUUCCCGGUGUAGUGGUGAAAUGCGUAGAGAUCGGGAGGAACACCUGUGGCGAAGGCGGCCCCCUGGGCCGCUCCUGACACUGAGACGCGAAGGCGUGGGGAGCGAACGGGAUUAGAAACCCUCGUAGUCC